rnacentral:rRNA from 1 species
UGUGCCAGCAGCCGCGGUAAUACGUAGGGUGCAAGCGUUAAUCGGAAUUACUGGGCGUAAAGCGUGCGCAGGCGGUUUUGUAAGUCUGACGUGAAAUCCCCGGGCUUAACCUGGGAAUUGCGUUGGAGACUGCAAGGCUAGAAUCUGGCAGAGGGGGGUAGAAUUCCACGUGUAGCAGUGAAAUGCGUAGAGAUGUGGAGGAACACCGAUGGCGAAGGCAGCCCCCUGGGUCAAGAUUGACGCUCAUGCACGAAAGCGUGGGGAGCAAACAGGAUUAGAU